UACGUAGGGUGCGGGCGUUAAUCGGAAUUACUGGGCGCAAAGCGUGCGCAGGCGGUUUCGCAAGUCAGGCGUGAAAUCCCCGAGCUUAACUUGGGAAUUGCACUUGAAACUACGAGACUGGAGUGUAGCAGAGGGAGGUGGAAUUCCACGUGUAGCGGUGAAAUGCGUAGAGAUGUGGAGGAACACCGAUGGCGAAGGCAGCCUCCUGGGCCAACACUGACGCUCAUGCACGAAAGCGUGGGGAGCAAACAGG
rnacentral:rRNA from 1 species